rnacentral:pre_miRNA from 1 species
GUAUCUGUUAUAGUUUAAGGACUGUUGAGAGAGUGAGUAUCUGUUAUAAGUAUCUGUUAUAGUUUUAGCACUCUCUCAACAGUCCUAAAACUAUAACAGAU